rnacentral:snRNA from 1 species
AGCUUUGCGCAGUGGUAGUAUCCUAGCCAAUGAGGUUUAUCCGAGGCGCGAUUAUUGCUAAUUAAAAUCCCUCUACCAUUCUCAUGCUUUUCUAAGAGGAAAAGUCAAAGCCCAAAUAAUAACCUAUAAAAUCCUAGAGAGUCUGAACCCAAUGGUU